rnacentral:rRNA from 1 species
ACUCAAAGGAAUAGACGGGGGCCCGCACAAGCGGCGGAGCAUGUGGAUUAAUUCGAUGCAACGCGAAGAACCUUACCUGGGUUUGACAUACACCAGAAAGCUAUAGAGAUAUAGCCCCCCUUGUGGUUGGUGUACAGGUGGUGCAUGGCUGUCGUCAGCUCGUGUCGUGAGAUGUUGGGUUAAGUCCCGCAACGAGCGCAACCCUUAUCUUAUGUUGCCAGCACGUUAUGGUGGGGACUCGUGAGAGACUGCCGGGGUCAACUCGGAGGAAGGUGGGGACGACGUCAAGUCAUCAUGCCCCUUAUGUCCAGGGCUUCACACAUGCUACAAUGGCCGGUACAGAGGGCUGCGAUACCGUGAGGUGGAGCGAAUCCCUUAAAGCCGGUCUCAGUUCGGAUCGGGGUCUGCAACUCGACCCCGUGAAGUUGGAGUCGCUAGUAAUCGCAGAUCAGCAACGCUGCGGUGAAUACGUUCCCGGGCCUUGUACACACCGCCCGU